CGAAUAAAAAAUAGUGUUAUUUUCUUCUUGAAGAUGUAAUAAUUAAUUAUAUUUAUGUGUAGGAUCUUGAAUCUUCCUCCAGGCGGGCCUGACUCAUUUCAACGGAUAAACACGGAAAAGAAGCGAAAUUGAAAGGGGUAGCUUUUAUUUGUUGCGUGCACAACAUUUGUUAGUGAAGGUAUCCUUGUUAAAUUAACUAUGGUUGG
rnacentral:lncRNA from 1 species